UACGAAGGGUGCAAACGUUGCUCGGAAUUACUGGGCGUAAAGAGCUCGUAGGUGGUUUGUCGCGUUGUCCGUGAAAACUCACAGCUUAACUGUGGGCGUGCGGGCGAUACGGGCAGACUGGAGUACUGCAGGGGAGACUGGAAUUCCUGGUGUAGCGGUGGAAUGCGCAGAUAUCAGGAGGAACACCGGUGGCGAAGGCGGGAUCCUGGGCCAGUACUGACGCUGAGGAGCGAAAGCGUGGGGAGCAAACAGG
rnacentral:rRNA from 1 species